rnacentral:lncRNA from 1 species
GGAGCUUGGGGCUCAUCCCUGCCUCUGAGGAACCAGUCACCACCAACACUAUCUCCAUCCCCACCCCCUCCUUGCCCUCCAAUUUGGGAAAUCAUUUGCAUUCUUCCUCUGAAAGCAUUAAUUGAGAGGAGAACAAAUGGAGUCCCCGGCAAUUUGAGCGAGCCUCAUUACUGCCUGAGGGCUUGUUUGGAACCAGCAGCCGUCAAAACAACAAUCGCAGCGCCCUGGCCCAGCACCAAAACUGUCCUGGGAGGGCUGGUGGGAGAGACGGGGGUUUUGUUCUCCGGGAGCCAGUUGUGCACCUUUAAUGAUGAACACCACAGCCAGCUCCCGGCUGAUGGCUGCGCAGCCUGCUGUCCCUUCCCCUAUUACCAGCAGCAGGAGGAAAGCCCCGGCAGGGCAGGGAGCUGGUGCUGUGCAGCGCGGAUCCCAGACAAUGUCACGCUUCUGUGGCCGGAGACCACCCGCAGCAGGAGAUGCCACUUGCAAUUAGGACGCGGUUGUUUUCUGCCUCGCCUGGCUUCGCCUCGGCUGGAGGAUAGCUCAGCCUGGUGGGAGGAAAGCUCUCGGCAGAGAGGGCUGAUGUUCCGACUGUUUCAGCAGCCUCACGUUGUGCCAGGGGAGGCUUCCUUUGGAUAUCAGGAAAGAUUUCUUCAUGGAGAGGGUGGUCAAGCACUGGAAAGGGCCGCCCAGGGAGGUCGUAGGGUCCCCAUCCCUGGAGGCAUUUCGGAGAUGUGUGGACAUGGCACUAAGGGAUGUGGUUCAGUGAUGGGACUCUGCAGGGCAGGCUGGUGGUUGGACUUGGUUAUCCUGAAAGUCUUUUCCAGCCUAGGUGGCUCCACAACUCUGAGUCUGUGCCGCCCUGCUGGAAGGGAAGGAUGCUGCUCGGGGGCACCGGGAGGGCUCUGCAGCUUCCAGCCAGGCUCCGCGGCAGCUCCCGGCAGCUUUCCCCUGUGCCCUUCUUCCUGCUGGCUCCAGCUUCUCAUUCCUUGCUCCUCUCAUUUCCAUUCCUUUUGUCCCCAAAGUCACAAUUUCAGCUACUUUUGCACUCACUGGAUGGUAUGA